UCAGCCCAGCAUCAUGUGUCUCACUCGUUCACUUCUUGAUUUGACAUACGAGUAAUUUGAGUUACGAGCUCCGUCACGGAACGAAUUAAACUCGUAAGUCAAGGCCCCACUGUAUGUGCUGUUAAUUGCUGUUAUAUACUGCCUCCCAAUUUCAACAUGGAUCUUUAAUAAAAAGGCAAAACAGUACUAUUUCUCUCUGAUUGGCAGCUCUGCCUGUCCUGUGUAACUGCCAGACCUGGCUGAAAGGUAGCUCGCUGGCUGGCCAGUCCAGCAACACUGGGACUGGGAUCCAGCUCACCUAACCAGGAUAGAAUGGAUGUGUCUGGAUGCCAAGCUGGCCCCCAUUUUAAACUGAUCCUCUCUCUUCCGGAGGAACUUUGGGAAGAGGCUAUCUAUCAAGGCAAAGGCUCCCUUUUUGUGUCUGUCUCUGAUGUUGGGACCUAAGAAGCCAUUUGUUUAGCCCUCAGAGAAGGAGUUGAGUGAAGUAGAGUAUAAGGAAAAUGCACCCAUAACCUAAUAAAAUAGCACUCACACCCUGAGUCUAAUCUUUUGGGCUUAUACUACCUCUUGGGGUUCUCACCAUUCCUUCCCCUACUAUUACAUGAAUGAAAUGCACUGCUUCUCUUUAUAAAAUAAUGGCCAAAUUCUCAAACUAACUCAAACUGCAAGAUAGAAGUACCACAACUGUCUCUUAACUAGGGUAAUAGAAAGUUGAAUUUUAAUGACAAAAUGUACCAGUGAAAAUUACCCUCACAAGUAAUGUUAUUUAAAUAAUGAAUUUCAGGAUAACAAACUGUUUCCUUCUAGGAUCAGUAUAGUCUAAUAAGUAUACAACCUUUAAAAGGACCAUAUUCAAUCAGUUCUUUAUUUUCAGGAUACACAAAUACUAAAGUUAUGCCCUCCAAGGAUUGAAAUUGAUUGGAUUUAAGCUAAAUUCAAUUAAGUAAAUUAAACAGGUUAUGAAAUGUGACAUUUACCAUUCAUUCUCCUACUGAAGGUUUGAUCCAAGAACCACAAGAUUCCAUGAUCAAAUUUUCUGCAGGUAAAUUAUUUAUGCAAAUUCUAAGUUCUAAGAUAAAAAAAUUAUGUCUCUAUUAUCUUCAUUGCAUGGAUGGUCAUCACUGAAUGUCAUAUUAAUUUUGUCCAAAAGUAAAAGCCGUAAGUUGGUUGGCAUAGUUACCCCCUGAGCAGUUUAAUAACAAAUGUCCCACUAAACGUAUUAUUCCUUUCCCAUUUUAACUCAGUGGUUUCCUUUGUUUAUCUUGAAGUAUUGAUGCCUUACCAAGCCAAAGGUUAUGAUACAUUUUGAAAUAAAGCUAGAAAAAAUUAAAUCUCAAACAUUUCAGAGUACCACUAAAAAAGCCAGUCAAUAUCCAGACCCAAUCAUACCAAUCGCCAAUAUAUUUGAUGCAAACAGUAGACAUAGUGAGAAGAAAUAGACAAGUUUUUCUUGCCCAAAUCUCUGCCAGUUCUUCAAUCUUGGAACAACAUAAACUGCAUACAAACUUGCUGGGGUGUUCAUUUUACCAAAAAGAUUAAGUCAGGUAAUAAUCGCAUAACAGAAUUAAUUUAACCCCCCUCCCAAUAAAAAGGCCAUUGGUAGGUUGUUUUUUUGGUCACGUUAAAGGGAUUUCUGAGUUCCAAACAAUAAAAACUAAUCUUAGAAUUGAAUGAUCCCUUAUUUCUCCAAGAGAAGGUAUCAAUUCUUAUCCAUUAAUGUAACAGAAAAAAAUCAUUUUAUUUCCCAACCAAUUUGAGAACUUUUAACCAUCUCCACACCUCACAUAUUUUUCAGAUUCAGGACACAAUCUUUAUCAGGUUUAUAAUGUUGGCCAACUUUUCUGGGCAUUAUGUGUGGUAGUGUUUUUUUCAGUUUAAAGUGUAUAAAUUUUUAUUACAUUCUUUUUUAAAAUUCUUUUUUUAAUUAAAUCUUUAUUGUUCAGAUUAUUAAAGUUGUUCCCACGUUAUGUGUGUUUUCAAGCUGUUGUUUUUAGCCUCAGAAUCCCUUGUUUAAAUAGAACCAUUUUCAGAAGCUACAUAUGUAAAAUAAUUGGAGGCAGAGGAGCUGGAAUUGGAGUGAGUGGGAGCCAAACCCACCUGCUUGGCCCUCUCUGGGGCCUGGAGGCUGCUCUGAGGGGUCUCAGAGGAGGAAGCUGCUUCAAACCCUGCCCUGGGCAAAUCCUGCCCACCCUUCUCCCUUGCUUUAACCUUUCCCAGUCUCAAGCCAAACUCCAUAUGUUUAAUUUAUCCAGUGACACAUGCCAUGCUUACUUAAUUCUUUGCUAGGACACAGGAUUUCUUAAGUUUAUUUCUUCCUUCAAGGGUAUACCUGCAUUUCUACUCUAUAAUCUCUACUGAGCAGAUGGUCUCAGCAGACAGUGCGGAGUCCCUAUAACCUCAUCCAGGAAUCUAGCGAGCUGACACCCACCAAGAAUCCCUGGAAGGCAUGGGAAAUAGCAGCACAGAUGUCCAGAAAAGCCCUGUCAGAAGCUACAAGGAUCCCCAAAGUUAUUUUUGCAGCAAACGCCUACACUGAAGGCAAGGGAAGAUUCAGAUGCAAGUUUCAGCCCUACAGGACCCUGGGCCCCACAGCCUGGCUGCAGGCAGCUCUGAGUCUCCCUCCCUGCUGCCCUGGGCUCAGCGGGCACACCCAGUGGCAUGUGUGCUCAAUGUUCCCAAGGACAGGCUGCUGUUUCCCUGCUUGCUCCUGGGUCUGGCCCUGCAAGGCACUCCAUAAAAGUUAAAAAAUGGGCACAGAAGCCACAUAUAACAGUGCAGGAAAAAACACAGGUAGAGCCCCCAUCGCUACCAAAUCCUCUUACCACAGUCGCAGGGUGCUUCCGGCGAUGACAGAAGUCCUCUGGGCUGCUGGGCCUUUGAAGGAAGGUCACCCAGCCCCCUGAGAAGGAGUCAGGGGCAGGCAGCAGAGCUAGACUGCAGGGACAUGGAGCCGUUGGCAUCUCCCUGGCACCCAGCGCCCUCCCACUCUUCCUCUGCUGGCCGUGAGCUGUCACGCAGUCACUGGUCUGUUUGCACAGGCUUUCUCUCGGUUUAAGUCGCCUCGCUCUGCUGUGAGCUCCUGCUCUCUACAGCAGCGGCACACACACACACACACACACACACACACACACACACACACACACACGGCACAACAUUGAGGCGCCGGGACCCCCAGGAAGCGGCCUCUCCCAAUCCCAGGUUCCCAACGCCUUGAAGAGGUCCCUGGAAGUCCCGCCGAGCCAGGUCCCCACGGGGACAGCCCUGUCCUGUCCUCAGCCUCCCUCGUCGACCUCCUGGCUCCAUCUUUUCCUGCCUGAGACUCCGUGCACCCUCCGUCUGGGCCCGAGCGAGCGCCUGUGCAAUGAGGACGUGCAGUGUCUGUACCGCAGGGGCGCUGGAGGCGACGCGGCGGGACGACGGGGGCUGGGGUUACUAAAAACCGCUACAUAUUUUUAAUAGAUUUAUAUUUUAAAUAAAUGUAUGUGUAGUUUGUAAA